rnacentral:rRNA from 1 species
GAGUGAAGUAAAACAUUUCAGUAACUCUUAUAAAAAUCGAAAGAGAUUUCGUUAGUAGUGGCGAGCGAAUGCGAAUUUUAGACUUAAAAAAUUUCAAAAUNUGCUGAAAAAGUCCAAAGAAGGUUUUAGUCCUGUAAGUAUCAUUUAAAAUUUUUUAUUAAAAGACGAUUUAUGUUAAAUUUGUCUUUUUAUUGUGAUCUACUCCAAAGUCUACAAAUUUUUAUGACCGAUAGUUUACAAGUACCGUGAGGGAAAGAUGAAACAUUUUUGAAAUAUUUAAAAUUUAAUGCAUAUUAUCUGUUGGAGCUUUUCUAAAGUUACAGCGUACCUUUUGCAUAAUGGGCCAGUGAGUUUAUUAUUUUAGCAAGUUUAUUUUUUAAGACAAAGUGAAAUCGAACUAAAACUUUCUUUAAGUUAAAAUAAUAAUAUCCGAAGCUGAGUGAUCUAAUCAUGAGCAGGCUGAAGACGUUUUUGUUGGAGGGCCGAACUCGUAUCUGUGACAAUAGAUUGAGAUGACUUGUGAUUAGGAGUGAAAGGCUAAUCAAACUCAGGUAUAGCCGAUUUUCUGCGAAAUAUAUUUUAGUAUAGCCUAAAAAUCCAUUAAAAUGGGAUAGAGCACUGUUAAGAUACGGGGGAUUUAUUUAUCUUACUUAGUUUUAAUAAUCUCCGAAUACGUUUUAUUUUUUUUUGGAGUCAGAUUUUAGAUGAUAAGGUCUUUAAUCGAGAGGGAAACAGCCCAGAGUAUAUGCUAAGGUCUUCAAUUAUUUAUUAAGUGAUAAGAUAUUAAUAAAAUUAUGACAGUUUUAAAGUAGGCUUGGAAGCAGCCAUUUUUUUUAGAAAGCGUAAUAGCUCAUUAACCUAGUUUUUUUAUAUCUAAGAUUUAUAAAGGCUAAAAUAAAUAACCGAAGCAGUACUUUUUAGGUAGCAGAACGUUCUGUAAUUCUAUGAAGAUUAUUAGUUAUAAUAAUUGGAGAAAUCAGAAGUGUCUAUACUGGCAUCAGUAGCACACAACAACAAUUUUUUGUUGUCGCCGAAAAUCUAAGGUUAUUUUUUAUAUACGGUCCCUAAGAUGAUAUACAAAUGUUAUAAUUAAUGGGAAAACUAUAAUUUGUGACAGAAGAAAAUAAAAAUACGUUUAUUUAUAGAUUUAUAGACCUAUUUUGUUAUUCUUCUCUGGAAAUAGCAAUAUUAGUAUAACCGUGCCUAAACCGCCACUGGUAGAUUGAUAGAGUAUAUUUAGGCGUUUUAAGAAAACUAUGUUGAAGGAACUCGGCAAAAUUACUCUGUAACUUCGGGAAAAAGAGUGACCUUAUUAUAGGUUGUCACUAAAAAGGAAGAAGCGACUGUUUAGCAAAAACACAGGUCUCUGCUAAUUUGAAAAAAGAUGUAUAGAGACUGACGCCUGCCCGGUGCUGAGUUGUUAAAAUAUGAAUGCGAUAGCUUUGAUAUUAAUCUUCAGUAAACGGCGGCUGUAACUCUGACGGUCCUAAGGUAGCGAAAUUCCUUGACGGGUAAGUUCCGUCCUGCAUGAAUGGUGUAACGACUGCCCCACUGUCUCUAAUGUGAACUCAAUGAAAUUGAACUAUCCGUGAAGAUGCGGAUUACUUAUAAUAAGACGAAAAGACCCUAUGCACCUUUACUACAUCUUUACAUUGUUUACAAAUAUAUAACGUGUAGGAUAGGUGGGAACUUAUGAAGGCAAAACGCUAGUUUUGUUGGAAGUGUUGGUGA